rnacentral:rRNA from 1 species
GAAUUCACUAGUGAUUCUUGGUCAUUUAGAGGAAGUAAAAGUCGUAACAAGGUUUCCGUAGGUAGCAUACAGCUUGCUUGUUUGCCUACCGAAGGCCUCCGCAGCGACUCUAAACAACUGCUCCAGUCGGCCCUGCUAUACAGGACCGGCGACGCCAUCAAUCUGCGCUGGGAACGUGCCUUCGGUGCGUUACCGGCAGCUCCUCCGGGAGUUCACAGAUCAAACGAUCGCGGCCGCUCCCCGGCGGUUCAGACAUGACCGGCCCCAGCCGUUCACCGGCCGGCGAACAGUGGAACCUGCGGAAGGAU